rnacentral:rRNA from 1 species
UACGGGGGGAGCAAGCGUUGUUCGGAUUUACUGGGCGUAAAGGGCGCGUAGGCGGUCAGCACAAGUCAGUUGUGAAAUCUCCGGGCUUAACUCGGAAAGGUCAACUGAUACUGUGCGACUAGAGUGCAGAAGGGGCAACUGGAAUUCUCGGUGUAGCGGUGAAAUGCGUAGAUAUCGGGAGGAACACCUGUGGCGAAGGCGGCCACCUGGUUGGAUACUGACGCUGAGACGCGAAAGCGUGGGGAGCAAACAGG